rnacentral:rRNA from 1 species
UCCUACGGGAGGCAGCAGUGGGGAAUUUUCCGCAAUGGGCGAAAGCCUGACGGAGCAAUACCGCGUGAGGGAGGAAGGCUCUUGGGUCGUAAACCUCUUUUCUCAGGGAAGAAAAGAAUGACGGUACCUGAGGAAUAAGCAUCGGCUAACUCCGUGCCAGCAGCCGCGGUAAUACGGAGGAUGCAAGCGUUAUCCGGAAUGAUUGGGCGUAAAGCGUCCGCAGGUGGCUAUGUAAGUCUGCUGUUAAAGAGUCUAGCUCAACUAGAUAAAAGCAGUGGAAACUACAUGGCUAGAGUGCGUUCGGGGCAGAGGGAAUUCCUGGUGUAGCGGUGAAAUGCGUAGAGAUCAGGAAGAACACCGGUGGCGAAAGCGCUCUGCUAGGCCGCAACUGACACUGAGGGACGAAAGCUAGGGGAGCGAAUGGGAUUAGAUACCCCAGUAGUCCUAGCCGUAAACGAUGGAUACUAGGCGUGGCUUGUAUCGACCCGAGCCGUGCCGUAGCUAACGCGUUAAGUAUCCCGCCUGGGGAGUACGCACGCAAGUGUGAAACUCAAAGGAAUUGACGGGG